AAGGUCCUAGCUUAAUUUAAAGCAUCUGAGUUGCAUUUAGAGGAUGCAGGUUAGUGCCCUGCGGGUCUUA
rnacentral:tRNA from 1 species